GUGAUGGCUGCUCUCUAACAGCUCUCGCGUCACGUGGUCAAACGCUCCCAGCUGCUAGACCAGAUUAGGACCUCCCCACAGAGCGGCUGCAGCUACAGCAAAGAUGGCUUCGUGUUGCGUUACAAUAAGGAAAGGGCAUCGGCUGGGAAAGGUGAAACACUGCGGGACGCGAGGAUGUGGAUGGGACAGGAUGUGUGGUGCAGUAUAAGCAUCCCCUCUGCUCAGGUCGCUGCUCAUUUGUCAAGUUGCCUGCAGACUUGAAUGGUGCAUUGCUGCUAAAACACAGAGAGGCAA